UACGGAGGAUCCAAGCGUUAUCCGGAUUUAUUGGUUUAAAGGGUGCGUAGGCGGCUUUUUAAGUCAGGGGUGAAAGCCCCGGGCUUAACCUGGGAACUGCGUUUGAUACGGAUGGGCUAGAGUUCGGGGAGAGGAGAGGUGGAAUUCCCAGUUGUAGAGGUGAAAUUCGUAGAUAUUCGCAAGAACACCAGUGGCGAAGGCGGCUCACUGGCCCGGUACUGACGCUGACGGUGCGAAAGCGUGGGGAGCAAAGCAG
rnacentral:rRNA from 1 species